rnacentral:lncRNA from 1 species
UUCCCUUCUCCUGCAUUUUGAGUAAUGAAUGCAUAAAAUCCCUGCAGUAUAAACAUUGAAAAGAUGAUUAAGCGCAAACCAAUUAAGCUUAGAAUCUACUCAUGACAGAAUCAACUAAGCUUAGAACUUUAAGUAAUAAGAAACCAUUGACUAUAGCUUGACUACUUACCCCAUAACCAGCAGGAAGACUAUUCUCCAUUGUGGUUUCUGAAGUGGUUGCAGUAGUGGCCUUAGUAUUCUUCUUAUACACUCCAAACAGCUUUUCCAUCUUCUUACGGAUGUGAUCCAUUUUAGCUUUGCUUGUAGACGGGUUUAAAGCGGUAUAGCAGUAUUCUAAGCACUUGAACUUCAACCUCGGAUCCAAGACCGCCGCAAUUGCUAAUAUUCUCACCCUUCUAUACUCAACAAACUGGUACGGCAGAUUAUGCUCAACUAUUGCCAUCGCCAUCAUUUCACGGAUAACAAUCAUAUCCAACUUCUUAUUACUUCCAGGUGUACAUCCAGGAGUCUUCGAACACCGUUUCGAAUGUCGCAGCAUAGUAUUAGUUCCAUUCCUAUUUAGAUCUAAGUUGUAGGGUUGAUUGCAAUGAUUGCACUUAACAUUAUAAGUUCCAUCCGGCAACCUAUCUCCUACAAUACUAAAAUUCUUCCAACACAUCGAGUGUCUACGUUUGUUACCUUUAGUCUUAGCAUGACUGGUUACAGAAUCACCUUGAGCAUCCUGAAUCUCCUGAUCAUCUUCAUUCUCAGCCAUCAUGUCUUCAACACUCAAGUAGUCAUCAUCGUUCAGGUUCAAAGUAUUUGCUUCCAUAUACACAAAAGAGAACAAAAGAGAAAACAUCAGUUAUAAGAAGUGAAUGACUUAAGGAUGCAUUACUCAAUUGUUAAAGGCAACAAAGCUCAUGACAAAUAAGAUAAACUUAAUACAGCAAAGCAGUACACAAGCAACACAAGAACACUGACAAUAAAAGGACUCACAACACUGGCAACUCGUAUUCUUUUACAUCUCUAAUUAUACAGCAAAGCAGUACACAAGACAACACAAGAACACUGACAAUAAGAGGACUCACAACACAAACUUAAUACAAAGUUUUAAUACAGAGUUCCUAGCAUGAUUGGCGAACAACAUAUCAUCUCGUUCAUCAACCCAAAAACCCAUAAGACUCAAAUCAACAUAGGAAACGUCUUAAAACUGAGACCAAGCUUAAGACACAGGCCGUCAACAUCAACAUAUCAUCUCCUUUGAGACCAAGCUUAAGACAUCUAGCUUCGGAAACCCAUACUGCAACGCUCAAGUUUUAUUCCUCAAGUGAACUAACUUAGGAAACAAACCUUACUAAAGAGAGUCUGAGCUUUAGAGGGUCUGAACUUGAGAGAGCCUGAGCUUGAGAGGGUUUGAUCUCAGCAAAUGGGCUUGAGAGGGUUUGAUCUCAGCAAAUGGAUCCGAGGUUUCACGAGAAGAUCAUCUAAACAGCAACAAAUAACAUUCAUGAGCUUUCACCGAUCUGUUUUAUAAUCAAAGGAGAAGGAGAAGACUUACCAUGAAUCACCAACGUCCGAGAGGACCGAGACUCGACAUCAACAAUCCCUUUUGGCUUUCACCGAUCCAUUUGAGUAUCUAACACAAAACACAAAUCCAUCGAAUAAGUAGCUAAUAAUAAAAACCCACAACACAAAUCAAUGAAAUCACACAUUAAAAGUCGAAGAAAUGGAAAAAUCAUGACGAAAUCAAACCUUCAAAGAUGACAAAAUCGGAAGAAUCGAAGAAGGAAGAGAAGAAUCGGAGAAGGAUCAACGAAGAAUCGGAGAAGGACCCAUGAAUAAUCGAAGAAGGAGGAGAAGAAUCGAAGAAGGAGAACCAGAAUCGAAGAAGGAAGAGAAGAAUCGUGUUUCCCCCAACGAAGAACAAAAAAAAUGAAAAUCGUGUUUUCCCCCAAAUCGCAAAACCUAGAAAUUUAAAUGUAUUGGGCCGUCCAUUGUCCAAGUGGUUAAGUCCAACUUUGGCCAUUGAUCUAUUUGGGUUCGUCCGUUUGGACAAAAUUUAAUUGUGGUCCAAUAUGGGUCUGUCCAUUUAGUUCUAUAUAGAUUUGGACAUGGGCCGCCCAUUAAUAGCUUGCCCAAUUGACAUUACUAGGUUUGACCUUCUUUCUAAGCCGGAGGGAUUUAUCAAUCUUCUUGGCAUUGUGCAAGCAAUGGGAACCACAGCCAUGUAACUUUCAUUACAAUCAAACAUAUACCGCCAGUCUAUCAUGGGUCCAAGAGUAUUGUCAAAGCUUAGCAUCUCAACCAAUGUAGCUACUAUGUCGGCUAUCAUCUCUAUGCUUUUGUGACAGAAUCUUGAAUGUUUUUUUUCAAAAAAAAAAAAUAUAUAUAUAUAUAUAUAUAUAACAUAAUCUUGUAGCAGGCCUAACUUGAUAAAACCAACCCAACUUACUGUAUCAGAUGGCUUGUUCCAGGAUAAAGGCCCAUGAGGCCGUUACGGAGCUUUGACUUGCAGUAAUAGCCCGUAAAGCCUCUUGUGCGCCAGAGACCGACAACGUCCUUAGUCAAAAAGAUCGGAUCACUUUUUUUACUUCACAUCAAAGCUAAAGAAAAGACCAAGUGGCGAUUCAUGAUUUGUCGCAUUAGCAUUGCGUCUGACGUGUACACAGAAUCGCCUUGCACCGCAAGCUUCUUUCCUCUGCAAGUUUCCUUCUUCUUGCCUCGAGAAGCCUUUUAAUUUUCUUUUACUUCCUUUUCCCAUUAAUUAAAAACAAAAAGAAAAAUUAAUAAAUUAAUGAAUGUAAAGAGAAGAGAACAAUCAGAAAAGUAGAAACAUCAACGAUAUAACUUUAUUAAAUUAAGGAACGUGCUUGUAAAGUCAUUUUUCCUAUAUAAAAAUCAUUUAAAUUAAUUAAAAACAAAACCUUUUGCUCUAUAAAAAGCUAUACUCUUUAUCACAGCUUCAACUCAACCAUCGUUCUAAAAAAAAUCUUUAAGGUACUUCGCCAGAGAGCAGAGAUGUUUCCUUCCUCCGAUAACGCUUUCUCGCCGUCGUCGCUGUUCUCAGCGUACGCAUCCCUCACCGGAUUCUUGAUGCUCUUCAGAUCGAUGCUCCACGACUUCGUCCCGGAGCAGCUCCGAACCUACUUCUCAACACUACUCGACCGCUUCUUCACUCCCAAAUCAAAGACCCUCACGGUCAUCAUCGACGAGAACUUCGGUUCGAACCGGAACCAAGUCUUCGACGCGGCCGAGCUCUACCUCCGCUCCAAAAUCGGCCCGGAGACAGAGCGGUUACGCGUCGGGAAGACCCCAAAGCAGAAACACUUCACUAUCUCGAUCGAGAAAGGAGAAGAGAUCAUCGACUCCUUCGAGGAAUCCGAGGUGAAAUGGAGCUACGUUCAGUCGGAGAAGGAGAAAGGCGAGCAAGUGAAACGCCACUACGAGCUCACCUUCGAGAAGAAGCUGAGAGAGAAAAUCACAAGCUCUUACCUAACCCACGUCGUUGCGGAGUCUGAAGAGAUCAAGAGGAGCCUGAGAGUGGUGAAGCUAUACAGCAAAGACUUGUACGUGACCGAGGACGACGACGGAUGCGCCGGCGGGAACUGGGGGUGUAUCAGCCUCGAGCAUCCUUCCACGUUCGAGACGUUAGCCAUGGAUCCCAACGCGAAGAAGAAGAUCAUCGACGACUUGGAUAGGUUCCUCAAGAGGAGAGAGUUUUACAAGAGAGUCGGUAAGGCCUGGAAGAGAGGCUACUUACUGUACGGACCUCCAGGAACAGGGAAAUCAAGCUUGAUUGCAGCUAUGGCUAACUACUUAAAAUUCGACGUGUUUGAUCUGGAGCUUAGUAGUAUCUACGACAACGGUGAACUGAAGAGGAUUCUGUUAUCCACCACCAAUCGUUCGAUUUUGGUGUUUGAGGAUAUCGACUGCAACGCCGAGGUUAGAGACAGGGAAGCUGAUGACGAUCAAGAAAGCAAAAAUAAUAAUAAUGGAAGGGUGACUUUAUCAGGGAUUCUCAACUUCAUCGAUGGGUUAUGGUCGAGUUUCGGAGACGAGAGGAUCAUCGUGUUCACGACUAACCACAAAGAAAGGCUAGAUCCUGCGCUGCUGCGUCCGGGGAGAAUGGAUAUGCAUAUCAAUAUGUCUUAUUGUACGGGUUUGGGGUUUAGGACAUUGGUUUCUAAUUACCUUGGUUUAGAUGGUUUAAACCAUCCUCUGUGUGAGGAGAUCGAGAGGUUGGUUGAUUCUACGGAGGUUACUCCUGCUGAGUUAGCUGAAGAGUUGAUGCAGGAUGAUGAUUGUGAUGUUGUUCUUCGUGGAGUGGUUAGCUUUGUUGAGAAGAGGAAGGUAGAGAGGAGCAAGGCCAAGGAGAGUGUUUCUAUUUGUAAUGAUGAUGAUGAUGAUGAUGCCGAAAAACAGAGUGUUUGUACUAAUGGUAUGAGGAAUAGGAAGAAGCAAGCUGGUAGACGAAAAAGGAGGGGCGCUCGGAAUGUAAAUGCUAGAACUUACUUGCAAGUAGGAAUGUAAAUUAUGUAAUGAAUAAACCAGUUAAUGGUUCUGUUUUGUUUCUUUCAGUAUCCUGUUUGAAUCCUAGUAAAAAUAUUUGUAACUGAGUCUGGUUUUCUAUUUAUUGGUAAUAAAUUUUCUCGGAAUGAUUUUAGCUGUUGUUUUGUUUUACCCAAACAAAAGUUAAUUAUAAUAAAAUUUUGACUUAAUUUCUAUUUAUAGAAUUCAAUGAUUCUCAUUACCUUGGUCUAUAAUGGCUUUAACCAUCCUGUAUCUGAAAAAUAUUGAGAGGUUGGUAGUACCAAAGCAAGUUGCUUGAAAUAAUUGAUGCUAGGUGAGCUAUACAAAACAAUUUCUGCUUGAACUCUCAAAGGACUCUUUCUCUGCAGUAUGAAUAUUCAUAAAAAAUUUGAUAUAUGUUAUAGGCUUCUGCUACAUGGACUGACCUUUAAUAUCUCGUUGUACUAGUGAGCUGCCUGAGUUUCUGGGAGGUCCUUGUACCUACGCUGACAAUGGAGUCUGCAUGCGCUCAGACAAAGGGGCAUAUGGAACAAUCCAGAUGUUAUGCAGGUGAAUGAACGGCUCUUAUGUUUGUCCACAACUGUUGUAGCAACAAGACCUUUCUCUCUGAAAAUCUAGCUGUUUUCGAGAUUGACUUACAGAGGGUGAAAAUGCUUGCAGAGAAGACCAUCUCCCAGGAAGACAUUGUGCACUCCAAGUUCUUGCUUGCGUUGAGCUAAUCUCUAUCCAUGUGCGAAUUAUUUUUAUCCUGACAAACUGAUUGCGAAAAUUCUGUGUGAGACGCAUUGCUUCACUCGUUCAUGUUUGAUCAAAUACAGCUUAUAUAAUUGAUCUCCCAGGGAAAUGAAUUAGCAGCUGCGGCAGCUCUUGAAACUACCACUGAUAGCUCUCUCCUUGUCAAAAUGUAAGAAUGACCUUACAUUUUUUUUUUAAUGGAAUGGCAUAAGAAUGACCUUGCUUCCUUUGGGCUUAUAUGCGACACUCUAUAUUCUUGCUGCCAAUUGACCAAAAAUAUUUAUAGGUUUUUUAUUAGGUCACUAAAGUCUCAAACAGUUAUAAUUUCACUACUCACUUAUGUUAGUUUUUAUUUGAUUGAAUAUGAUAUCUAUAUAUAUAUAUAUAUACAUAUGCAUUUCAAAGAAAAUUGUAGAUUAUUAGAAAUUGCCCAUAAAUUGAUACACAAUUUGUGUCUAUAAAUUAUGGAAUCAAAUUUAAAAAAGUAUACACACAAUACAACAAAAAUCUAUCCAUUUUUUAAAAAUAAGGUACUAUUAUUCAUGUUUACCACUACUAAAGAGAAAUUUUCAAAAAUAUAUUCUUCAUUAAGUGGCAAAAUAUUUGUAUACGUUUGUUCUCUAUAUAUAUAAUAAAUAAUUAUUUAAAUAAAUAAAUAACGUAAAUUUUUUUUAUGAUUUUGAAUUAUACUUUUUCAAAUUCGAACUUUUUAUAAUUUUUGUUUUGAUUUUUUUUUCAAAAUUUAUUUUUGAAAAUCGAAAAUAAUUUUUGAAACUAUUUUAAAAAUAUAUAUUUUUAAAGUAUUUAUUUAUAUAUUUAUUAGAUUCCUAAAUUUUGCAUUUCAAAAACCUAUCCCACCACUCAAGUCUAAGUCCUAAGUCUAGACUAAAAGUAUAUAGUGUAAACAUAAAAAUGGUACUAUGAAUAUAGUAUUUUUUUUUUGCAAUUUCCCUUAAUGUAAUUCCAUUUAUGAAAUUUUAUAGACAACUUAGUUUCAAUUAAUAAAAAUGAUAUUUUAAUAUUAUUCUGUUAUAACAGAUCAAUAUAUUUUAACGUGAUAAAUAUAAAAUACUAAUUUAGUUAAUAUUUAUAUUAUAUAAUUAUCAUAUUUUGAAAAUAUUUUUAGUUUUUGUCCGCAUAUUUAGUUAUAUGUUAUAUUACUGAAUAUAAUAUUGAUAAUUAAUGAAAAUAUUUGAAUUUAUUUCUAACAUGUUUCCAAAAAAUACCCUAAUUGAAUAUGUUUCUAAAAAAUUAAAAAUAUUUGAUCCCAUCUUUUUAGAAAUUUGUUUAUUAACCUUAGCACAAGUUAUUUUUUGAUGAACUUUUAUAUUGAUUAAUCAAAUAAUAAGAUGGGAUUUACAAAGGGUUUGUAAGGGAGCUAGGAGCUAUACACAAAACUACCUGCAACCAUUUAUUUCUUAUCCUAUCAAAGUUUCACUUCAAACUCAAAAAAUUUACUUCAUCCUCCAUAAACCUCGAACCAACAUUUUAGAAGCCCAGCAAACUUGUGAUUUCCUGUGUAUUUUAGGGAUGAGAUCAUGUUGCUAAUGACUUUAUCAAUCUGCCUAAUCAUUCUAUCAGUGCUCAUCAAGUACGAUGAUGUCUCUUUGUGUUCCUCUCUUUCCAAACAAAAUAGAUGGUGGCGUGAAAGACCAACCGCAAGAGGAUGCUGUCUAUCUUACUUCUGCUGCGUCUCUUCAGUGACAACAACGUGGUGGUGCAAUCUGGUGACGCUGCAGACCCCAACAGUCUGACAGUAAGAGUAGUCAAGAUUGUGAAGGUGAUAGGACAAGCAAAGUAGAGAUGACCUCUGCUUUCAUCCCUUUUUCCACAGAACAUGCAUCAUUGGGUAUGCAGAUAAAUAAUUAAAACACUCAAUUUUUUGGAUAUGAAGAUAAAUAAUUAAAAUACUCAAUUUUUUGUGAAGAAAGAAACUAGAAAACAUACAUAUAUAUAUAUAUAACUAGUUCUUUUUGCACAUAUUAAAAUUAUUUUAAAUUUUAAAAUAAAGUACAUUGAAUUGAUGGAUUAUCAUAUUUGUAUUUUCAUAAAUAUAAGAUUACAAUCAUUUAGAUUAAAAUAAAUAUUUAUAGAAAAUAAAAUAUUGUAUAUAAUAGAAUUUUAAAAUCAGCAGAUUGAAUGCAAUUAAUUUUCAUAAUCAAAAGUUCAACAAAAUCAUAUAUAACAUAAUUUUUAAAUAAAUUUUUUGAUGCAAAUAAAAAUAUAUUACUAUGUGGAAUAAAAUAACUUACUUCUUUUUAUAAGUAAUUAUAGAGAUUUUAUUACAAACAUAUCAAUUUAGAAGUUUGAACAUUAAAGUUAAAUCAUUAUAUAUAUAUAUAUAUAUUACAUUAAAUAUAAAUUAAAAGUAAUACAAUUUUUAUUUCCACAAAUAUAUUCAUGUUUCUAAACAAUGUAGAACACAUAAAUUAAACUAUAUCAAAUACAAUUCCCUUUUAGAAUAAACUACAUAUAUAUAUUGUUAUCUUUUUUUUUUUUUUUUUUUUUCUUUAUAAAUUCUUGCAACUAACUUCCUUCCUUCAUGUGCUAUCGAAAAAACAGAAGACUCAGAGAGAAGCUUGACAUUGAAGAAACAGAGGAGAGGAGUGCUACGGAUCCAUCUCUUUCGUGAUUGUUUCCCGCUCCGUCUCCUUCUCUUUAGGUACGUUCAGUUGAAAACCGCACUUGAGUAAUACUUUUUGUAAAGUCACUUGUGUUAUGCAUGAUAAAUAUUUUUCUCUUAAAUAAUAAAAUCUACGUUAUGAAACAUUUCUUACUAAAACAUCAACACAUAUGCAUUUUAAUAUUGUAAACUUUCUCACUGAAAUUAUAAUUAAUAAUAAUUCUAACAAAACAGUAUAUAUUCAUUUUAUUUUCUAAAUUUUAGGUAUGUUCUUCAAAUUUUAACACAUAUUUUAUUAUAUUCAUGUUUUAAAUAUAUUAUUUAAAAUUUAUAUAUAUUUAUAUUUAUAAACGAAUUUGACAAUAUUAUUGAAAUAAUAUGUACUUAUUGUGAUGUGUUUAACCAUUUUGUAAUUAUCUUUUUUUUAUUUCUUUUUCAUAAAUAUGUAUAUGUAAGAAAUUUUAAUUUUAAAGUACAUUUAUUAUAGAGAAAAAGACUAUGAUAGCACCAAACUAAAUUUUUGUUCCCAAAGUAGGACUCAAGUUUCAAAGUCACAAAAAUAGGUUUCAUUAAAGAGGUAAAUAUACACUUAUACCCUUUGGGUUAAUUAAUCCAAUCCUUAGAGUUUAGAGUUAAGGGGUAGAAUUUUGGAAUUAGGAUUUAAAAUUUUAUAAAAUAAAAAAUAAAUAGUAGAAUAAAAAAUAAAAAUUUUAAAAACAGUUUCAAAAAGUAUUUUUAAAUUAUAAAAAGAAAAAUAAAAAAAAAUAAAAAAAAAAUUCGAAAAAAAAGUUUCAAAAAUAAAUUAUAAAAAAUUUCGAAUCUAAAAACAUAUAGUCUGAAACUAUAAAAAAAUUUCUUUUUUUCAUUUUUUUAUUUUUUUUUAUUUGUUUAUUUAAUUUUAAACAAAAGAUAUUAGGGAUAUUUUACCCUUUAAUGAAUGUCAUUUUGUGACUUUCUUCUUUUAGUGCCAUUUUUGAGACAUAAACUUCAAAAGGUGCUAUUAUUGACAAUUGACCUUUAUUAUAUUCAUAUAUUAUUUAUAUUCUUUAACUAUAUUAUAUACUAUUUUAUUUUAUAACUUAAAUAAUUAUUCAAUACCGCAAAUACAUAUUGUCACCAAUCAAACAAUAUUUCGCACUGCUUUUUACAUAAAAUCGUAGUUGUACCGUACCACACUUUAAUUUUGUACUGCUUUUUUUACCAAAUCCGCCAUCAUCAUUCGGACCCUUAGUAUUAGUGGCCACGAUUUAGCUGAAAUAUUUUUGUAAUGUAUAUUUUUCCAAUUUUAAAACAAGUUUGAACAGUCAAUAAAAAUAAUAAUUACAUUAUUAAAUAUACAAAAAUAUGUCAUUUUUGUUCAAAAUUUAUUUUGUUAAAUUUUAACAAUUAAGUGCUAUACUAAAUAAAUAAAUUCGAAUAAAUAUAAGGUAUGAAUUUUUUUUUUAACAAAAGCUAUGGAGUUUUUAUAGUGGUAAAUAAAGAAAUUUCAAGUAACAUAACAAAAUAUUUUCUCAGCGUAACAAAAUCAUUUUCGUCUGCCUACGCGUAAUAAAAUCUUUAGACGACAACCGUGUGAUUUUCCUUUUUUACUUUUAAAGAUGCAGAGAAUCAAAUCACUUUUAACAGAAGCGUAUGACCUGUUAUCCUUUACCAGAUCUUAAACAGAAGUAAUUUAAAGCUAUUUUUGCCUAUUUGAAAGAGGCUUUGCUUAGUGGUGAAGUAGCCUCCUUCGUUUGUGGGGUGUUAUGUUUAAGUACACUCAUAUUAUAAUAACAUGCAACUCAAACAGAUAUUUCUAUUAGAGCUAAUUUGCUGAAUAUACUAAAAAUAGUGAGAUACCAUAGAAUGAGGGGAAAAUGGUAAUGAUAGGGGAGAAAAUUGGAAAGAUAUAGUGUAUGGAAUGCAAAUAUGAGAUAUUUGGUGUGUAGGGAGUACAAAUUCUCUUUCUAUUAUCCUUCAAACUUGGUUUAUCUUUUAAAGAAAAGAUAUCUCAUAUAUAUUUAUUAGAGAUAUUAGGAUCACACAUGUGACCCGGUCCCGAGAGUUUGGAGGUCCUAGACCAUUUAGUAAAAAUUUCAAAAAUUUAUGGACUUAACUUUUUUUUUUUACAAAUUUAAAGGCCUAUUUACAUAUACAAUUUUUUUUUAAAAAAUUAGGAUAUGAGAAGAAUGUUUCAUUAGGCUUGGCAAAGGACUGACUCCGGUCACACGAGGAUUGCACCGAAAUUAGAUGCAUGCCUUUUUCGUUGUGUCGUACACUUAAUGUCAAUGUUAGGCCUAUCGCCAUAGCUUAUGAACACACAUAGGAACCUAAGAUUGUGUAUCAAAACUGACGAAUUGGCACUUUCGUUUUUCUAUUAAAUGAAUUGGUUUAUAUGAACACUUUAUCAUCAUUUCAUAAAAUUUAUUUUUUUAUCACAAAGUUUCCUUCGAAAAUUGCUUACCUUCAAAACUUGUUUUUUUCUAUUUUUCUUCGGAGUGACAGAGAUUAUUAUUUCUUUUAGUAGAGAUUUCCUUCAAAUUUAAAGAUUUCAGAAUUUUUUUUUGAUUUUUUUCUCGAUCCCUUACAAAGUGAAAAGUAUUACAUGUUCAAAAAAAAAUCCAGCAUCCUAUCUUAUUUGUUAGAUUUUGUUUGGUAAUAAUUUGUCGAUUCUAAAGAUGGAGUUUCACCAAUUGCUUGAACAUAUGUUUGCAGCCGAUGAAAAAUCCUCUGGUGAACGAGUUAAUCCCUACAAAAGAAUAUUAAACAAACUGAAUCCAUACUCGACACCCUCGACCUAAAAGAGAUUGAGUAUAUGUGGAAUUCUACAUUUGAUAAGAUCCUGGCGAUUGGCGUGAAUCCCUCUAUCUCUAUAUAAUUCAGUCAAUUUAUUACUGUCAGAUUUUUGAAAGUCAAUAAGAAGUAUGAGAUGUGGAUCCUCUUUGCUGGGAAGCCCGGUCCGAAUGUCACUUAGAGAGUUUGCUAUCGUCAUGGGUCUUAAAUGUUGGAAAGUUGCUAAAGCAUCAAAGUGGAAGAGACGCGAUCCUUUGAACAAGAAGCUUUACUAGAAUGAUCUUUUCGGAUUAUUGAAAUGUAUGAAGAAGAGUAACGUGCAGAACAUAAAUAGCAGAAUUAAGUAUGCAUGUCUAACUAUUACCCCAUCUAUUAUAUUGCCUAAGUCUCAAUGUCCCUUAUACUUUAUCAUGAGCAUGUGGUGCUGAUUCGCAACACUGAUGAAUUUAUGGCUUGUCUUUGGGUCGUGCUGCAUACGAAAUGUUGGUGUCAUUCAUGGUUGGAUAUGAUGAAAUUUCAUUGUCCCAAAGCUUUGUUGCACUGAAAGGAUAUGUUGAUGCAAUUCAACUAGUGAUGAUUUCUGCUGUUCCACCGCUUAAAGAGGUGGUAGUUCAGAAUGAACAUGCGGUUGUGAUUGAAUCAGAUAGCGAGAUUGAAACAACUUCUAAAGAUCACAUGGAUAUGUAUACCUAUAGGUAUAGGGGAUAUACCCUCCGCUGUUGUCAAAGUGGGGGUCAUUCAUGGGCAUCCUAGAUAUCUAGACUAGGAAUGUCAGAUAUUAGUAGAUAUUCCCUUUACAUGUUAUAAUUUGACCAAUUCGAAUAUUUUUUAUCUGCAAGUUGGUGGUUAUGAUUGUUUCGAUUGGUGUGAAGUCUAACCGAUGGAUUACCAAAUCAUGUAAUGGAUUUAAUGAAUAUGUAACCGUUAUAAAGCACAAUUAUUGGCAACAUUUCAAUUAUUUUGUUUAUGUAUUAUUAACAUUCUAUCUAUCAGACUAGCAAGUAUAAUAUUAUGUUUUAACUAACAUUAUUAGUGAUGGUGUACUGAUUUGUUAGCAGUUACGUGUCCGCUAAUAUUAUUUAUGAUGAGUGUACUGAUAUGUUAACAGAUACGAAUGACAAUGCAAUAUAAUGUAAUAACAUUUUGAGUUUUAUGCAUUAUGUAGGUGGAUGUGAAAUAUAUAUUAGAUGACCAUGCAGAGGACUGUCCAUUGGGUAUAGAUCUUGGGUGGUCUGAUGAAGAGGAAGACGAGGUUAUUGAUAAUUUGGUGCGGUUUGUCGGUGAAGAUUAUAUUUUCCACAAUGAAAUAUUCAAAGGUGGGUUAGACAUUGCUGAUUUCGUUUGGAUAAGGAAUGAGAGGAAGCAGAAAAAGAAAGAAGCAAAAAAAAUAAAGACAAAAGGCAACGUUAACGAGACAGCUAACGUUGAGGCUUCAGAUCCAACACUCACAGAGCAAGUAGAGAGCUUGUUACUACACAACUGAAAGAUAAAAUCAAUGAUGUAGCCAAUGUUUUGUGGGAGGGCUUCAAAGUCAUGGAGCGGAGCCGCAGAAGAUGGACAAAGUUGUGGAUGAUAAAUUGGAGAAAUUGUUUUUAUUGACAAAAUGGCAAGGGCAAAAUUGGCACUUUGAAGCCAAAAUGGUAAGUGGAAAUCAGUUUCUAAGCGAACAUAUGUAGCAACCAAAUUAUUAUCUCUAACUUGAAUAUUUAACUAAUUAUCUCAUAUUAUUAUCUAGAGAUGCAAUUGUAAAACCAUCUUCAGGAAAAAGAAAUAAAAAAUAUUCGAAUUAUAACAAAAUUUAUAUUAAAAAUUAAAUAAAUUGGCACUAAUAUAUAAAUAAUUUAAGCCAAUUCACUUGUUAUAAAUUAAUUUUGAGUUGAAAAUUUAUUAAAUUUAAUUUAUGUUUUUUUUAGUUAUUCUUUAGAGAAGGACCUUUUAAAAUAAAUUCAGAAAAAUCAAAUUGCUAAAUUUUACACUAAAAUUUGAAUAAAUCUACAUUAGAAUAUACCAAAUUUAUGUCAAUUUACUCGUUACCAAUUAAUUUCUAGUUAGAAGUUUAUACAACUUAAUAGUUAUAAGGUUUUGGUUAUAUUCAUUAUAUCGAAACUGAUCAUAAUAACCCACAGAAGGUUACUAACGAUUUUAAAAUAGAAUUUAGUUUACCUUUAUCAGAUAAAAAAACAUUUCAGUUGAGAAUAUUAAGAUCCUAUAUUAAAACUUUGAAUAUACCAACAUAAUAUAUGAAAAAAUAUAAGUCAUAACUUAUUCUGAACUGGAUUUGAACUCCAAACCCAAAAAUGUGAUAUAAAUUUGAAUUCUAAUUUGCUAUAUUGAGUUUAUGGCUAACUUUCUAAUAUUAUCAUAUUUCAUAGUAUUUAUAAUAUUUUAAAAUAUAUAUAUCAACAGUCAAUAUAAAUCGGAUUUGAUUCAUGUAAAUAGAGAUAUACUUACCCUUCUAAUCUAUUAGUUCAUAAUCACUAUAUAUAGAUAAUGAUUCUUACUCUUAUGUGUGAUCUAUGAUUUAUGUCAUUGUAAAUACUUAUAUUUUUAGAAUUUCAUUAAGUAUCUUAAUGUCAUAGACUACUAAUUAACCAAACCACAAAUUAAUGAAUUUACAAUAUUUUUUAAUUUAAAUUAUAUCUAUAUUUUAUAACAAAUCUUAUAGUUUUAAUGUAUAUUUCAAAUAAUUUAUAACAUUGUAAGUACUUAAGUAAUAUUAAAUAUAAUUACAAACUAAUAUUAUGUCAGAGUUUAAUUGAAAAUAAGAAUCUACUGAUAGUUUUAUAUAAGUAUAUUAUAUAACAAUAAUAGUUACUUAAAAUAAAUAUAAUUAAACAGUUUUGUAUAAUAUUUUUUUUAUAGAUUAUAAAAUCAAAUUGAAGUAUACAUACAAAAACACACAAUUUCUUAGAAUGAUAUUGUUUUUUCUAAAAAUAUAAAAUAGUUCAAAUCAACUCAAUACAUACUAAACUUAUAUCACACAGUUUUACAAUGACUGGUUUAAUAAGAAUAAAACUAGAGCUUGACCCGCGCACCCGCGCAGGUGUUAGUUUUUUUUAUAAAUAAAUAUUUAUUUGUAUAAGUGAUAAUAUAUAUUUUAAAAGUUACCCGUUUAAUUUAUUUUUAAUAUGACAUUUCUAAACACAAUAAUUCUAUAGUUUAUAUUGAGUAGUUUUAUUUUAUCAUGUAAACCCUUAGUUAUAUCAUCUAUUUAUUUAGAAUAUGACCUGUAAAGUCACACAAAUGUAUUUUUAUUUUUUAUGGAUCAAAAUUUUAUGAUUAUAUAUAAUAAAAUUGUUGUAUAAACUAUUUUUAUGGAUCACAAUUUUAUGAUUAUGUAUAAUAAUAUUUUUGUAUACUAUUUACUAUGUAUAUGUGGAAUUAGUAAAAUAAUUACCGUAUAAUGUAUGUAAUUAUGAAAUGUAUAUAUGGAAUUAAUUAUUUUCAAACACACAUAUGUAUAAUAAAAAAAAAAGAAAAGACAAUUAAUAUUAAAAUUUAGGUUUACUAAUUAUUGUUACGAUGAUUUUUUAGUUAGAAUUUGAUUUUGGAAAUACAUUAAUUGAAGAGAAAAGACAAAAAUCCUAAAAGAUAGGUUAAUUAAUAACUUCAGUGGCAUGCUAUUGUAAAUAUAGUGGAAAACUAAUGGAUAAUCUAAUUUUGUACUCCUCUUUUAAUAGAUUAGAUAUUAUUAAAAAAAUUAAAACACUUUUAUGCUAUAGUACGAGUCAAAACAUAAUAUACCCGUGAACAUAUAUACGUAAUUUGUUUUAACAACUGUUUUCUUUAAACCUAGAAUGAUCAUGAGAUUUCAAAUCCUAUUCAAAAUUGGGAUCAGAAAUCCAAAAAAAUCUAUAAAAUGAGGUGCAGAUUGAUUGUCACUUCGUGGAAUAACUUGUAAAAUUUCUGAUUUUUCGAGACUAAAUUACAAAACACCUUGAACAUUAAACUGAAUAAUACUGAGCAUUGUACGGAUAAAACUCUAGUAACUAAAUUAUAAUUGGGUUGAUGUUUGGUAAGAUAAAUAUAUAUAUUGAGCUUUCGAGAGUAGUAAUAAUUUGCCGAAAGUGCUGACUGACUUAUAAGACAUUUAUAAUUUAUCAAAUUCAAUAAUCAUAAGCUAAGUGAUAUCAUUGAUAUGUCCAUUACAUGUUUAAACUUUAUUAGAGAGGUUCAAUGAAUAUAAAACAAUCGUUGUUUGGGAAUAUUCCCAUCAAUUACAUCAUUGGGAUUUUUAUAUUAAUUCCUCAAGUUAGAGUGAAACCAAAUAUCUAUUUGACAUCUCUUUCUUACCAAUUUUAAACUAAUUGAGAAAAAUAAAGGAAUGGUCCAAGUUAAGGGCUGACCUAUGGGUUUUAGUUGCAUGCAGUGGCAUUAUUUUUUAAUUUAUACACAGUUACUUUUCUCCUCAUCUUUCCACUAUUCUAUUUUCUUGCUCAAAGUUGGAGCCAACCUCUUUAUACAUUAAGCAUAUUUUAUAUUCAACUAUAUAAUAAUAUGAAGUUUUGUGGUAUUUUGGAAUAAUCCUCUUAAUAUAAACAAUUUGAUUUUACAUAUCUUUCUAAAUAAACCUAUUAGAUAAAUACUAUUAAUAUGGAUAUGUUUGGUUGUACUGACAAAUAAUAAUUAAAAAAAAACAUUAGGAAAAGAAAACAAAAAAGCUAAAUAAGAGUAUGCCAUAUUUUGAUGGCCCCUUCCAACCUAACUUUGCAUUUUAUUUUCUAACUAUCUUUAAGAAAUACAUUAUACAUAUUCCUGUAGUUAAUACUUGAUAUGUAAACCGGGACGUCAUACUUAAGCAACACACUUAGUUCUAAAAUUUAUAUUAAAAUGGUGUGAAAUGUAUAAAAUUAAUAACAAUAUAUACAGUUUUUGGCAAAUAAAGAUCAUCAAUACAUGGUGAAUAAUUAAAGAAAGGACGUUCUGAAUGAUAUUAUCUGUAUUUUCUCCUAUAGAUACCACAAAAUAUUUAUACAGCUCUUAAAAUAUUUCAAAAAAAAAUCCUUAAUAUGGUAUCUAGAAAAUAAUUUCUAAAAAGUGUGCUUGUUUUAGAACAUAUGUAGUUAUGUGACUCUAAUUGGUGGUCAUAAAAAUAAAAAUAAGAAUAAAUAGGAAAAAUAAUAAAAAUGAAAAAAUAAUAGGAAUGGAAAGGAAUAUAUGUUACUUAUGGUUCCUUCUCAAAUUUGUUAAGGAAUGUUUCUGUUAUAUAUACUAGGGCCUAUUGUAUACUUCUUUAACAAAUGAGUAUAUAAUGAAAAGAAAUCAUAUGAAAAAUUCUUAAUAAAUAGUGUAAUAUUUAAGAAAUGAAAGGAUUUUGUUAUUCUCAUUUAUUAUUUUGGUCACCAUUUAAAGCCUUGUAAUUGACAUAUUGAACUAAAUAAACUUGUUAUAUUUAUAGAAGACUCCUGAUAAGUCUUACUAAAUAAACUUAUGAGAUAACUACUAGUCUACUACUAGUAUGUAUUUCACAUAACCCUAAUGCUCUAGUUGGUCGUUAUUUGAUCUCUGAUUAAGGACCGGGUUUUAGUAGAUUAUUAGUCGUUUAUACAAAUGAAAAAUGAAUGAAGUUCCAGAAAAAAUGCGCUAUAUCCCCAUGUGAAUCAUGUGAUUAUGUCCCCUGGCUAUGCUUAGAGGUUAAGUGUCAACAACUUUUAUAUUGUUUUCGAAGUAUUACUUUUUCCUGCCAGAUGAUUAUUCGUUUGUUCUUAAUUUGAACUUUGAUGUAUAUUAAGAGCCGUCCAUUGAGAACAUGGCUUGCGCAACGCACGUGGUUUCGUACGGUGCAGAUCUAUAAAAGAGAUUCCCGUUGAAAACGUCGUCGUGAACUGUAGUAGAAGUAGGUGACGUGAAUUAUUAACGUAUAAUUACCAACUGUAACUAAAAGCCGCACGAGGUGAACUGAUAAAAAGGUAACUGUUGUCAAAUUGAUUAGCCUCCACCUUUGAUUCAAUAAAAUACAGUAUAUCAAAAUAUUCAACACCAAGAACGACGUAUGUAGUAACAAAUUUAUUUAAAAAUUACGUAAACUUUUUCUAAGAAGGAUGCAAGACAUUUGAUUGUUUAUUUCCUAUUUUUAUCUUUUAACAUCUGGUCAACUUUUACAGACCUAUUUGUCUAGCUUGCUAUACAUUAUUAAUCCUAGUACAUUAUUAAUCAAGCUAUUACAAAACAUAACAGAUAUACAUUUACCAUUUAUAUAUUUUCCUAAAAAUAGACAAUUAAAAUAUAGUUUUUCUAUAAAUUACAAAACAGUUAAUUUAUAUAAAUGAUGAAACAAUAGAUGUAGGGAGUGAUUGGCUAGUAUGCAGUAAGUGCCUCUAGUUUAAUUUUUAUUUACAACCUUAAAAUUUACCAUUAAUAAUUUAUCUAUUUUAUUAAAACUGAAUUAUAAAUAUGAACCAUCCCUUAGAAUAUUUUUUAAUUACGUCUAAUGUUAUUUCUUUUACAUUAUUAACUAUAAUUAUCGUUAAUAGAUUAACUUACAAAAACAUAAUAAAUAUAUGUUUCCAUAAAAAUGUAUAUGUGUUGCAAAAUUGGGUCAUAUUUAGCUACCACAUAAAUGUAAUAGAUUCCAAUAUUUCAUUUCGUAAAAUAAAAUUUAAAAUAUAAAAGCAAAAAUCUGUAUAUUCAUAUAAUAAAACCAAAACAUAAGCGUGUAACAUAUACAUUAAUUAUAUAAUCUAUAAAUUUAAUUAUUUAUUUCCAUAUACAUUUAAUUGCAUAAAUUCACUCAAUUUUUUAUUAGUUAAUUUCAUUUUAUUAUUAAUGGUAAAUCAUAAAUACACACACACACACUAUAUAUAUAUAUGGUAGAACAUUCCAUUUAUUGCAUUAUAUCUCAUUAUCUAUUUCUUUAAAUUGUGGAAUAUCCUUUAAUUAAAUUGUUAGUAAUAUUUGUAGUGAUAUAAAAGCUACAAUAAAAACUUAAUAUUAAAUUAUUCUGAUCAAUAAUUAAUAUAUCAAUACUGUAAAUAAAUAAAUAUAUAUAUAUAUAUAUGAUAAUAUUCAACAAUUUAAUAAUAUGUUUUUCACAUAUAUAUAAUUUUGUCUAACUAAUCCAAUACAUAUCUAAUAAGAUAAAUAUAUAACAAACCCCCACUUACACAAUAUAUAGUUUGAAACAAUAACUUAAAUUAUUGCAUUAGAGUUAUAUAAUUAUUGUGUGUUUAAAAUGUCCAUAAAACUGAAUAUUUAAUAUGGAAAAAUGUUAAAAACAAUAAGAUAUACACAUAUAAAAUAAAUAUUGAUGGAUAUCUCUAUAAUAUUAUUUGAGAAGUCAGUUUAUUAUGUGUCGCACACACAUUAAUUCUUAUGACGGUUAUUUACAGAGGUACCUUUAAUGAAAUACAAAUAUUAAAUUUAAAUACUAUUGUUUUUUAUUUUUUUAGUUUACUUUUUAUUUUUUCCAAAACAUAUAUAAAAAAAGAAACAUUCAUAAAGUUUAAAAACGAAUUUAAAAUCGAAAAUAUUAAGUUCACAAAAAGUAAUAUUAAGUUUAAAACAUAUUCUUACAUAAUAAUUAUUAUUAUUGGAAUGUUUUUUCAUAAUUUUUAGCUGACUAUAAUAUCUUACAAUUACAGAAAAAAAAAACACUUAUUAUUAAUAUGAUUCCACAAAAUAAUCACAAUUUUAGUGCUCAUUUUAAGAGAUAUUAAAAAUGGAACCUAAAAAUAAUUGUUUAUGAUAAGAAUAUUUUGAUCAAAUAAUUACAGAUUGUUUUUUAAAAAGCAUAUACUUUUAAUGAGGUAUAUAUAUAUUAUAUUUUAUCUUUAUUAAAAAAAAUCUUAAUAUUUGGUUCCUUUUUAAUUUUAUAUUUUCUUUAUGUUUGUGGAACUUAAUAUAUCCAUAAUCAAAAUACCCAACCAAAUCUGAAUUUUCAUUUUUAAGAUUAUUUAAAAUAAUUUUCAGUUUACCUUUCAAUAAAUCUAAGGCAUACAAUUAUUUAGAAUAUAUAAAAUAUAUAAUUAUUGUAAAUAUUGAUAUUCGUUUAUGGUCUUACAAAACUUUAUCAGUUAUACUAUGUAUGUAAUUUCCUACUGAUCAUCUCUUUAUUUUCUAAUAUUUUUUUAAAAAAUCAACAUAUAAUUUUGAUAAAUAUUAUGAAAAUACAUACACAUUUAACCGAGAAAUAAAACUAAUUUGAUUUGACUUGAUUAGAAUAAAAAUAAUUAUACAUGAGUUUGAAUUUGAAGAAUAUAUGUAACUUAAUAUACUCACAGUCCAACUUAUAUCCAAAAUCAAAGAUUAAACUACAGUAACAGUUGACAAAAAAAAACUACCUUAACAAAUAAUUUUAUAAUAAGGAUCUAUUUAUUUUUAUACAUAUAAAUUAUAGGAUAACUCAAACUCUAUUAAUAAAUAAAAAUAAAAUAUUAACUCAUUGUUACAAUAUAAUUUUAUAUAUAUGCAUGAGACUUCAAAAUAUUAUCAUUAUAUUCAUUUAUGUAAUUUUGAAUUAAACAUUUUAGUUUAUUUUAUUUAAUUUUAAGCACAAUAUAUAUUAUGUUAUACAUAAUAUUACGAAAAUAUAUAUGCAUAUCUAAGAAAAUAACCAAUCUAAAUACAAAUAAGAAUUUAAUCAAAAUUAACUAUAUUUAGAAUAAAAUAUUAUAGUUGAAUUCGAAGAAAUAGAUGCAAUCCAAUAUACCAAAGUAAUAAAUAAAUCGAUUGUUGAUCAAAAAUAAUCAAACCGACUAGAUAUAACGUAUCCAAAUCAUAUGUCUAAUCAAAAUAAUAUAAUAUUAUUAACAUAAAUUAUACAUAUAAAUUAUAAAUUGAUUUUAACUAAAAGUAAAUAUCAAUUAAUUAUAGUAUUUUAAUUUUAUAAAAAUUUAUAUCCGUGCAUGAACACACAAAAAUCACCUAAUUAAAAGUAAACAAAGAUCCAGCCGCAUUGAUCAAACUCUAGUUAUAGUUUUAAAAGUCACCGCUAAAACACUAAAGAAAUGAAUGUAUACAAAACAUUAUUUAAUAAGUUGUAGGAGAUAUAUAUUAGCUUUCAAAAAAAGUUGUAGCGAAAAUAUAUUGCUAUAAGAAUUUUUUUCCAUUUAAUUCUUACAACUACAAUCCUAUAAACUAAAUUUCCCAACAAUAUUUCUACCAUUACAGCCUAUCCAAUAAACCUCCUAGUACUCUUAAUAAAGACACAUCCAAAAUAUUUUAUGAAUUGCUCAAUACAAUAAAAUAUUAAUAAUCAAUUAAUAGAUGAGUAUUUUAAGAUAUACAUUUUAAUUUAGAAAAAUUAUAGUCUUUGUAUUUACAAAUUAUCAUAUUAGUAUUUUCGUUUACUGUAUUUUGAGAAUUUACCAUGGGGAGCUUACCGUGAAGGUGCUCCCGUGCUUCUUCCACCCUCCUUUAUUUCCUUAAACAAAAGAAGAAAAGAAAAGUCAAGUGGAUGCUUGAGAUUUUGUUUCUAUAUAAUCUACAACAAACCCUUCAUCAAAAACCUCUUUCCCCUUCACUCUAUCAUCUUCCUAAUCUCCGUCAUAUUCCUCUGUUUUUUGGUUCUUUAUAUUUAUAGAUCUCCUCUGUUUCUUCUCUCUCCUCUGUUUUUCUCUUCUAUCAUCUAUAACAAAACCCAGACCGAGGAAAAACACAUAAAAACUGAAACUUUGAUGGUAGGAAACUAAUGACUCCGGUUCUCUGCGAAAUCUUGCUCUCUGGGCUCACGGUUAAAUCUGCUCUCCGCCGUAGAACCCAUCUCGUUCAAUCAUUCUCCGUCGUCUUCCUCUACUGGUUUUACAACGUUUCAUGAAUUGCUGACAACCCUCAAAUCUAAUCCUUAAACUAAAAUUAAUUUACAUCAUAUAUUAAUUAUUUUCAGACAAUUAAAAAACCCACAAACCAUUUGUCUUUUUUCUUUUUUGUUCUUGUAAUUUUCUUUGUUAACCCUUUUUAUGAUCGACGGCUGUGGAUUCGAUGAUCGUACGGUUGGGAUUAACAGCGACGGAUUUUACGAUGAUAUGAUGAGCGGCGUUAAUCACUGGGGUGGUUCGGUUUAUUCUAACCAGCCCAUCAUGGCUAAUGAUAUCAACAUGUAUUAAAUUAAAAUUAAUUAUAAAACUAGUACUAUUGGCCCCUUUUAUUUUAAGUUUAGCUUUUUAUCUUCUUGUGUUGGUGUGGAAAUGUAAUAUUAUUACAUAUGCAUCCUGAUUGGUUGGAAGGAUAAAUAAACAUAUAUAUGGGCAUAUAUAGGCUGUCCUUUGUCAUGUAUUGUUGUGUGCUUUUUUUGUUAAUUAAUAAUAAAAAUUUCUAAAACUUUUUGUUUGGUAUGAUUAUGUUAUCAUCAUUUUGUUUUCUCCUUGUAAACCUAUACAUUUUUGUUGUUUGAACAACACUAUACAUCUUCUAUUUGACGAA